GAGGUAAGCUACCAAACCCUAACUUUGAGAACUUACGAUUUUUGGGUUUUGAGCUUUAAGAUGAGGUCAAAUGGACUUCUAACACCAUUGUUGGUGGAUUAGAGCUAGAGGCUAGGGUUUCAUGGUGCAAAUGGCAUGAUGCUAACCCUAGGGCACCCAAAAUGGAAUUUUUGGAAAUAGAUGAGAUUGAUCUCAUUUGAGGCCUUGUAAACCUAAUUGCUAGGUGUCCAAACGCGUUGGCGGAGUCGGAAUUACGAUUCGUCGAGCGGGUGUAGAGCUAUCGGCAAAGUAGGGACGACCUAGCUUCG
rnacentral:lncRNA from 1 species